rnacentral:rRNA from 1 species
UACAGAGGUCUCAAGCGUUGUUCGGAUUCAUUGGGCGUAAAGGGUGUGUAGGUGGCGCGCUAAGUCGGGUGUGAAAUUUCGGAGCUUAACUCCGAAACUGCACUCGAUACUGCUCUGCUUGAGGACUGGAGAGGAGACUGGAAUUCACGGUGUAGCAGUGAAAUGCGUAGAUAUCGUGAGGAAGACCAGUGGCGAAGGCGGGUCUCUGGACAGUUCCUGACGCUGAGGCGCGAAGGCCAGGGGAGCAAACGGG